rnacentral:rRNA from 1 species
UACGGAGGGUGCAAGCGUUGUCCGGAAUCACUGGGCGUAAAGGGCGCGUAGGCGGCUCGGUAAGUAGGGGGUGAAAUCCUGCGGCUUAACCGCAGGGCUGCCUUCUAAACUGUCGAGCUUGAGCACGGUAGAGGCAGAUGGAAUUCCCGGUGUAGCGGUGGAAUGCGUAGAGAUCGGGAAGAACACCGGUGGCGAAGGCGGCCAACUGGACCACAACUGACGCUGAGGCGCGAAAGCGUGGGGAGCAAACAGG